UUUUAGAUUUUCAUUGGUGGCCAUCUCACGGUUUCAUCGUUCAUCAUUUCCACCGCGAUCAUGUAGUGAAAGAAAUGAAUAGUGACAUCACUAGAAGCAGUGAGGACUUACAUAUCGGUGCAAGUACAAAAUAUAUCCCAAGAACCACACUGAAUAAAAUUUCACGAUUACAAACAUAACCCUAAAUUUAGUAAGACAAUCUUAUUGAGUUUAAUUGUCACAUAAGUCAACUUAUAAGUGCAAUCAACGGCAAUAAAAAACACAAUUACUAAUUUUAAAAAUGAAUGUUACAUAUAAGCAAAGAGAAAUGCUAUUAAAUUACAUGGAAUCACAUCGAAAAUUACUACAAGGACGAUUAAGUAGAAAAUCGGAAAGCCGCAGGACAAUGAAAGAUAUGUGGGAUAACUUAGCGAACACUUUAAAUUGUUCUGGUGAGGGUCCCAAAAAGAGUGCUGAAGAAUGGAGAAAGAGCUGGAAUGACUGGCGAAUGAACGUCCUCAAAAAGGAGACGAAGAGAAAAAAUUAUUCGAGGGGUACAGGUGGUGAAAAAAAAAAGUUGAUAAAACCUGAAAGUAAUAUUGACAUAAAGAUUAUACUA